rnacentral:rRNA from 1 species
AGGACGAACGCUGGCGGCGUGCUUAACACAUGCAAGUCGAACGAACCUUCGGGUUAGUGGCGGACGGGUGAGUAACACGUGGGCAACCUGCCUCGAGCUCUGGGAUAACACCGGGAAACCGGUGCUAAUACCGGAUAUGAACAGAGAAGGCAUCUUCUCUGUUGGAAAGUUUUUCGGCUCGAGAUGGGCCCGCGGCCUAUCAGCUUGUUGGUGGGGUAACGGCCUACCAAGGCGACGACGGGUAACC